rnacentral:rRNA from 1 species
GGACUACCCGGGUUUCUAAUCCUGUUUGAUCCCCACGCUUUCGUGCCUCAGCGUCAAUGCUUGCUUAGUAAGCUGCCUUCGCAAUCGGUGUUCUAAGUCAUAUCUAUGCAUUUCACCGCUACAUGACUUAUUCCGCCUACCUCAACAAUAUUCAAGACCUAUAGUAUCAAUGGCAGUUUCCGGGUUGAGCCCGGAGAUUUCACCGCUGACUUACAGGCCCGCCUACACACCCUUUAAACCCAGUGAAUCCGGAUAACGCUUGCACCCUCCGUAUUACCGCGGCUGCUGGCAC